rnacentral:rRNA from 1 species
AACGAACGCUGGCGGCGUGCUUAACACAUGCAAGUCGAACGCGAAAGGGACUUCGGUCCUGAGUAAAGUGGCGCACGGGUGAGUAACGCGUAGAUAACCUGUCUUCAUGUCUGGAAUAAUACGCCGAAAGGGGUACUAAUACCGGAUAUUCUUGCUUUUUCAUAAGUUAUGCAAGCAAAGGUGGCCUCUGCAUAUGCUACUGCAUGAAGAGGGGUCUGCGUACCAUUAGCUAGUAGGUGGGUAAUGGCCUACCUAGGCGACGAUGGUUAGCGGGUCUGAGAGGAUGAUCCGCCACACUGGCACUGGAACACGGGCCAGACUCCUACGGGAGGCAGCAGUGAGGAAUAUUGCGCAAUGGGGGAAACCCUGACGCAGCGACGCCGCGUGAGUGAGGAAGGCCUUCGGGUCGUAAAGCUCUGUCAAGAGGAAAGAAGUGUACAAUGGCUAAUACCUGUUGUAUUUGACGGUACCUCUAAAGGAAGCACCGGCUAACUCCGUGCCAGCCGCGGC